GUUUUUAAUAUUGAAUUUAUUGUAUUAUUGAAAUAAUAUUCCUUCAUUAUUAUUACUAUUACUGAUUGCACGUAAUCAGAAGUGUGAGUGUCAUGUCGGUGUAAAGUCCAAAGUAACACAAAUUUCUCAAAAGUGAUCACAAGGUGUUGCAAACAUAGAGAACUGGUUAUUUGAGUUUAUCUACCGACAUAAACAUUUGGGAGAUCGUAAGAGAGAACUUACAGAAACAACUUAUGACAUGUCUAUAAGCUGUUUUCAACAACUUAUUUCCAUAACCUCACAUGAUAGCUUAUGAUGAAAACAACUUAUUGCAUAUACAAAAACAAUUUUUAUUUAUUUUGUAAUAGAAAUUGCUCAUACAUAUGCACUUAUAUAUCUUAAACACUUGUUAUAAGCACUUAUUAAACCGUUUAUCCAAUUUUUCCUUAACAAAAAGAUCAUUAGCAAAAGAGAAACAAACAAACCUCAGCUGAUGAACCAUUUGGAUCAGUCAAUACAAUCCUAGGCAAUCCAUCUUUGUCCUGAAAUACAGGCAUCUGUAUUGAUUCCUGCUGCAACCUUAAUGCUCCUGAGUUACUCACAAAUGG
rnacentral:lncRNA from 1 species